rnacentral:rRNA from 1 species
CAGGAUCCUGAGUACGGCGGAACACGUGAAAUUCCGUCGGAAUCCGGGAGGACCAUCUCCCAAGGCUAAAUACUCCCUAGUGACCGAUAGUGAACCAGUACCGUGAGGGAAAGGUGAAAAGCACCCCGGAAGGGGAGUGAAACAGUUCCUGAAACCGUGUGCCUACAAUUAGUCAAAGCCCGUUAAUGGGUAAUGGCGUGCCUUUUGUAGAAUGAACCGGCGAGUUACGUUUGCUUGCGAGGUUAAGAUGAAAAGUCGGAGCCGUAGCGAAAGCGAGUCUGAACAGGGCGAAUGAGUAAGCAGAUGUAGACCCGAAACCAAGUGACCUACCCAUGACCAGGUUGAAGGUGUGGUGAAACACACUGGAGGACCGAACCCAUGUAUGUUGAAAAAUGCUGGGAUGAGUUGUGGGUAGCGGUGAAAUUCCAAACGAACUUGGAGAUAGCUGGUUCUCUCCGAAAUAGCUUUAGGGUUAGCCUCGGAGGAUGGAUCAUGGAGGUAGAGCACUGUUUGAACUAGGGGCCCAUCAAGGGUUACUGAAUUCAGAUAAACUCCGAAUACCAUCGAUCUUACUCCGGGAGUCAGACAGUGAGCGAUAAGGUCCAUUGUCGAAAGGGGAACAGCCCAGAUCACCAGUUAAGGUCCCUAAAUUUAUGCUAAGUGGAAAAGGAUGUGGCGUUGCACAGACAACUAGGAUGUUGGCUCAGAAGCAGCCACCAUUUAAAGAGUGCGUAAUAGCUCACUAGUCGAGUGGCACUGCGCCGAAAAUAUACCGGGGCUAAGCAUAAUACCGAAACUGUGGGUGCACCCAUAAGGGUGCGCGGUAGGAGAGCGUUCUAAGGGCGUUGAAGGUCGAUCGUGAGGACGGCUGGAGCGCUUAGAAGUGAGAAUGCCGGCAUGAGUAGCGAAAGAUCAGUGAGAAUCUGAUCCACCGUAUGACUAAGGUUUCCUGGGGAAGGCUCGUCCUCCCAGGGUUAGUCGGGAUCUAAGGCGAGGCCGAGAGGCGUAGUCGAUGACAAGCAGGUUGAGAUUCCUGCACUAGUUUAUUUUGUUUAAGCGAUGGAGGGACGCAGGAGGCUAAGGAAAGCGCACGGCUGGAAAUGUGCGCCCAAGCAGCAAGUCUGACAGCGAGUGAAAUGCUUGCAGUCUUAAGGACAAGCUGUGAUGGGGAGCGAAAUUAUAGUAGCGAAGUUCCUGAUGUCACACUGCCAAGAAAAGCUUCUAGUGAGAAAUAAACUACCCGUACCGCAAACCGACACAGGUAGUCGAGGAGAGUAUCCUCAGGUGAGCGAGCGAACUCUCGUUAAGGAACUCGGCAAAAUGACCCCGUAACUUCGGAAGAAGGGGUGCUGACCGCAAGGUCAGCCGCAGUGAAUAGGCCCAAACAACUGUUUAUCAAAAACACAGGUCUCUGCUAAAUCGUAAGAUGAUGUAUAGGGGCUGACGCCUGCCCGGUGCUGGAAGGUUAAGAGGAUGAGUUAGCGCAAGCGAAGCCCAGAAUUGAAGCCCCAGUAAACGGCGGCCGUAACUAUAACGGUCCUAAGGUAGCGAAAUUCCUUGUCGGGUAAGUUCCGACCCGCACGAAAGGCGUAAUGAUUUGGGCACUGUCUCAACGAGAGACUCGGUGAAAUUAUAGUACCCGUGAAGAUGCGGGUUACCCGCGACAGGACGGAAAGACCCCAUGGAGCUUUACUGUAGCUUGAUAUUGAGUGUUUGUACCGCUUGUACAGGAUAGGUAGGAGCCGUAGAGAUCGGAACGCUAGUUUCGAUGGAGGCGUUGGUGGGAUACUACCCUAGCUGUAUGAACACUCUAACCCGCGCCACUAAUCGUGGCGGGAGACAGUGUCAGGUAGGCAGUUUGACUGGGGCGGUCGCCUCCUAAAAUGUAACGGAGGCGCCCAAAGGUUCCCUCAGAAUGGUUGGAAAUCAUUCGCAGAGUGUAAAGGUAUAAGGGAGCUUGACUGCGAGACUGACAAGUCGAGCAGGGACGAAAGUCGGGCUUAGUGAUCCGGUGGUUCCGUAUGGAAGGGCCAUCGCUCAACGGAUAAAAGCUACCCUGGGGAUAACAGGCUUAUCUCCCCCAAGAGUCCACAUCGACGGGGAGGUUUGGCACCUCGAUGUCGGCUCAUCGCAUCCUGGGGCUGUAGUCGGUCCCAAGGGUUGGGCUGUUCGCCCAUUAAAGCGGUACGCGAGCUGGGUUCAGAACGUCGUGAGACAGUUCGGUCCCUAUCCGUCGCGGGCGCAGGAAAUUUGAGAGGAGCUGUCCUUAGUACGAGAGGACCGGGAUGGACGUUCCGCUGGUGUACCAGUUGUGCCGCCAGGCGCAUCGCUGGGUAGCUAUGAACGGCAGGGAUAAACGCUGAAAGCAUCUAAGUGUGAAGCCCCCCUCGAGAUGAGAUUUCCCAUUCCUAUAUGGAAGUAAGACCCCUGAGAGAUGAUCAGGUAGAUAGGCUGGAAGUGGAAGUGCAGCGAUGCAUGGAGCGGACCAGUACUAAUCGGUCGAGGACUUAACCAA